ensembl:lncRNA
CACAGCUACAGGACCAGGAGGGGAAUUCAAUCUGUUUGACUUCAGAGCCUGGCCCAUUCCUUUUAUGACUUAGGUUCUGAGCCUCCAAAGCACACAAGGGAGCCUUAUACUUUCAAAAGCUCAGUGGGCUUCUCUGCACCGUGAGUGGGAGCCACUUGCCCUGGCUGGCUUCUUCCCAACUUCUAGCCCUUUCUCACCCACUCUUCAUCUUUUUGCUCUUCUUCAGUCCCCAGAUUCUCUUAGCUUUUCUCCUCCGUGUCCUUUUUUAUCCUAACGUGUUUUUUUGAGACAUUUCAAACGCUAACAAGUUGAGGUAUUGGACAGCAAACGCUAACCCUCAGCCACCAGCUCGAUGUCAUCUUUCUGUGCCUGGACUUAGUGUCCCACCUACCUGCCUGUCUCUUCAUCUCUCCCUGUGGCUGUAAGUUUAUCUCAUUAUUUUGUCACAUUUCACAGCAACUUGCAGGUGUAGAUCCACUUCUCCAGGGUUUUUGUUUGUUUGGCGUUUUUUUGUAUUUUAAAACAAAAGUUUUAAAAAAUAUUGUCCUGGGGUCUCCAUGUUAUUGUUCCCCUCCUCUUCUCACAUCAGCCACAUCCCAGACCUGAGUGAUGCCACCUAUCUGUCCCCUUACGCACUCAAAGUGGUGGGUCUGUGGAGGGGCAGGACCUGUUGCACCAUCUGCAGUUGAAAUUGCCCCUAGUGUCCCCUCUUCACCUUAUGGGCCUCCAACCUCCCGGGUAGAUCGGUGGUUCAAGCCCCAUUCCUGUUCAGUAACCUGCUGUAACUCCCAUUGCUCUUGUUGCUCUGCUCAGCACUGGGAAGGUGUGGAGGUAACGCCCUACUAACAGGUUUCUCAAGAUGAGGACCCUGCAAAGCCACUGGGUGGUUGUAAAAACUCUUGUUCUUGGGCACCAACAUGGAGCGGAAUCUUUAGCAAUGGUCAACAAGAUUCUCACCAGAGCUGAGCUAGAUGCCUGCACCAGCCCUUAAGCCUCCAAAACUUACCAGGAGAUUGAACCCAGGGGAGCUCUACAGUGAGCUACAUCUUUGCCUUGAGAUAUUUGAGUUUCCAUCUGGAAAAAAGUUCAUGGAUCAUCAUGUUUGAGCGGUAGUGGAGGGAGAGGCCACAUUCAUUGGCCCUCCAGCUCUGCUAAUAGAUGUGACCCAGCAACAUCUGUGUCGGAAGCAGAAAGGUGGUGUCAUCACAUUUCUCUCUGAGGAACCCUAGCAAUAAUCUGAUUCAUGAAAACACACACAUCCUUCCUGGAGCCCUGGAACUGAAUACAAAUUCAUUGCCCACCAUUCCUAGAAUAUGGACCUGGUGUAGCUCACCUCCUGACACUGGGUUGUCAGGCAGAUAGCACUUGGAUUUAUUAACAACCACAUUCCUUUCCUGUUCCUAUUUCAACUAUCAUUCUAAAAGAUGUCUAAGAGGGAAAAACCAAAAUCACAAGACUGGACUCAUUUCAUCUGUUGGAAUCCACAAUUCUCCAGCUGCUUGAAGGAUAGCUCAAGCCUUGUGUGAUGGGCACAUGAAGACCACUCAUUGGGGGGGAUUCCUCUUUCGCAGACACACCUGGCCGCACCUCCCCUUAGCCUUAGAUUUUUAUUUAAUUAUAGCAGAGAAGAGAUUUCUAUUGGGGAUAUUUUCCCACUUGACAGCAACUUUAGCCAAUUCUUUAAUCCUGAUAGUACAUUCUUCUUUAAUAU